AGUAGGGUGGCCUAGUGGGAAAGGGCACAGGCCUGGGAGUCAGAGGACCUGGGUUCUAAUCCUGGCUCUGCCA
rnacentral:tRNA from 1 species